rnacentral:rRNA from 1 species
AUGAAGCUGGAAUCGCUAGUAAUCGCGGAUCAGAAUGCCGCGGUGAAUACGUUCCCGGGUCUUGUACACACCGCCCGUCACACCAUGGGAGUCAGUAACGCCCGAAGUCAGUGACCUAACCGAGAGGGAGGAGCUGCCGAAGGCGGGACGGAUAACUGGGGUGAAGUCGUAACAAGGUAGC